CAGUAGCCGCGGUAAUACGGAGGGUGCAAGCGUUAAUCGGAAUUACUGGGCGUAAAGCGCACGCAGGCGGUCUGACAAGUCAGAUGUGAAAUCCCCGGGCUUAACCUGGGAACUGCAUUUGAAACUGUCAGGCUGGAGUCUUGUAGAGGGGGGUAGAAUUCCAGGUGUAGCGGUUAAAUGCGUAGAGAUCUGGAGGAAUACCGGUGGCGAAGGCGGCCCCCUGGACAAAGACUGACGCUCAGGUGCGAAAGCGUGGGGAGCAAACAGGAUUAGAUACCCGCGAGUCCCUGUCUCUUAUACA
rnacentral:rRNA from 1 species